rnacentral:rRNA from 1 species
CUUUUUUACGGGAUUGCCCCAGUAACGGCGAGUGAAGCGGCAACAGCUCAAAUUUGAAAUCUGGCCCCUAGGGUCCGAGUUGUAAUUUGUAGAGGAUGCUUUUGGUGAGGUGCCGCCCGAGUUCCCUGGAACGGGACGCCGCAGAGGGUGAGAGCCCCGUCUGGCUGGCCACCGAGCCUCUGUAAAGCUCCUUCGACGAGUCGAGUAGUUUGGGAAUGCUGCUCAAAAUGGGAGGUAUAUGUCUUCUAAAGCUAAAUAUUGGCCAGAGACCGAUAGCGCACAAGUAGAGUGAUCGAAAGAUGAAAAGCACCUUGAAAAGAGGGUUAAACAGUACGUGAAAUUGUUGAAAGGGAAGCGCUUGUGACCAGACUUGGGCGCGGCGAAUCAUCCGGGGUUCUCUCCGGUGCACUUCGCCGCGUUCAGGCCAGCAUCAGUUCGGCGCGGGGGAAAAAGGCUUCGGGAACGUGGCUGCCCCGGCAGUGUUAUAGCCCGUUGCAUAAUACCCUGCGCUGGACUGAGGACCGCGCAUCUGCAAGGAUGCUGGCGUAAUGGUCACCAGCGACCCGUCUUGAAACACGGACCAAGGAGUCGUCUUCGUAUGCGAGUGUUCGGGUGUCAAACCCCUACGCGUAAUGAAAGUGAACGCAGGUGAGAGCUUCGGCGCAUCAUCGACCGAUCCUGAUGUUCUCGGAUGGAUUUGAGUAAGAGCAUACGGGGCCGGACCCGAAAGAAGGUGAACUAUGCCUGUAUAGGGUGAAGCCAGAGGAAACUCUGGUGGAGGCUCGCAGCGGUUCUGACGUGCAAAUCGAUCGUCAAAUAUGGGCAUGGGGGCGAAAGACUAAUCGAACCUUCUAGUAGCUGGUUUCCGCCGAGUCCUCCCCUCCAGAGAAUAGAAAACA